AUUGAACGCUGGCGGCAGGCCUAACACAUGCAAGUCGAGCGGAUGAAGGGAGCUUGCUCCUGGAUUCAGCGGCGGACGGGUGAGUAAUGCCUAGGAAUCUGCCUGGUAGUGGGGGAUAACGUCCGGAAACGGGCGCUAAUACCGCAUACGUCCAGAGGGUGAAAGUGGGGGAUCUUCGGACAUCACGCUAUCAGAUGAGCCUAGGUCGGAUUAGCUAGUUGGUGGGGUAAAGGCCUACCAAGGCGACGAUCCGUAACUGGUCUGAGAGGAUGAUCAGUCACACUGGAACUGAGACACGGUCCAGACUCCUACGGGAGGCAGCAGUGGGGAAUAUUGGGCAAAGGGCGAAAGCCUGAUCCAGCCAUGCCGCGUGUGUGAAGAAGGUCUUCGGAUUGUAAAGCACUUUAAGUUGGGAGGAAGGGCAGUAAGUUAAUACCUUGCUGUUUUGACGUUACCAACAGAAUAAGCACCGGCUAACUACGUG
rnacentral:rRNA from 1 species